AAGCAACACUCUGUGGUUGAUAUCUAGUUGUCUGCCUCAAUUUUAAGCUUGCUAAAGUAAAUAUAGUCUUUCCUAUUCCAGAGAUAACGUGAGGUUAUCUGUUACGUAGACUCGGACAUU